rnacentral:rRNA from 1 species
CAGGCCUAACACAUGCAAGUCGGACGGUAGCACAGAGGAGCUUGCUCCUCGGGUGACGAGUGGCGGACGGGUGAGUAAUGUCUGGGGAUCUGCCCGAUAGAGGGGGAUAACCACUGGAAACGGUGGCUAAUACCGCAUAACGUCGCAAGACCAAAGAGGGGGACCUUCGGGCCUCUCACUAUCGGAUGAACCCAGAUGGGAUUAGCUAGUAGGCGGGGUAACGGCCCACCUAGGCGACGAUCCCUAGCUGGUCUGAGAGGAUGACCAGCCACACUGGAACUGAGACACGGUCCAGACUCCUACGGGAGGCAGCAGUGGGGAAUAUUGCACAAUGGGCGCAAGCCUGAUGCAGCCAUGCCGCGUGUAUGAAGAAGGCCUUCGGGUUGUAAAGUACUUUCAGCGGGGAGGAAGGCAGUGAGGUUAAUAACCUUACUGAUUGACGUUACCCGCAGAAGAAGCACCGGCUAACUCCGUGCCAGCAGCCGCGGUAAU